ACACCCGUAAUUCGAUUUCAUAAUUUGGUUUCGAUUUAUCAAUUUGCCAGACAAACAGGUUGUUGAGUUGUUGGAUAUUUUUGGCAUUUCAUUGAAAUUGGAAUAAAACCAGAGACUGGUCCACAAAACUCAUAUGUGCUGCUCUGCGGUUGGUUGGCAGCUACCUAUCAAAAUAAUGCCCAUGGAAUCGCAUACAAAUGCCUGGUUGCCGCAGUAAAAAUCAUCUCCGCUUGCAUUCUGCAGACUGCCUUCAGCCGGAGUUGGGAAAACAAGGAGCCAGAGUUGGGAAAAUAGGGAGUCGGAAAAGCAGAGAGCGUGCAUCGGAUGUCUGCCGCCAAUGAAUGAAUUUGAAAAGACUGCAACUCAGACGGAUGGGCUGUAUUGGCUACACCAGUUAAAUAGUUCUCACUAGGGAACUGCACAGGUAUUUAAUUAAUGUUUUAUA